rnacentral:rRNA from 1 species
UACAGAGGGUGCAAGCGUUAAUCGGAAUUACUGGGCGUAAAGCGCGCGUAGGUGGUUUGUUAAGUUGGAUGUGAAAAUCCCCCGGGCGUCAACCUACGGGAACGUAGCAUUCUAAAACUAGACAAGCCAGAGUAUGGUAGAGGGUGGUGGAAUUUCCUGUGUAGCGGUGAAAUGCGUAGAUAUAGGAAGGAACACCAGUGGCGAAGGCGGCUAUCUGGACGAACACUGACGCUGAGACACGAAAGCGUGGGGAGCAAACAGGAUUAGAAACCCGAGUAGU